CCCCUUGAUCUCCAAAAUAUGUCAUGUAAAAAGAUGAUACAAUACGUAUAUAUAGAAUAAGGGUAAGCUAAGUUAGUGUUGGAGUCGAUUUAGAUUGAAACGCCCAGGGGUAGAUGGACCAUGCAUCACCCCCUCUAUUCCAUAGGAAUAGAGCAUGCAACGCAUACUAAUAGCAUGAUGCUACUAGAAUUUGUCCUUUGAAUUUUGCUUAAGUGUUGGUCCUUCCUCCUUUCAUACCUUGUCUUGUGGUGUCUUUCCAAUAAUUUUACAGCAUCUAUAUCAUCCAUAUGUCAUUAUGUUAAGCUCAUAAAGGAUCCUAAAAUAAAAAACCACACGAAUUAGAGGUACAAACACAAAACAUCCAUCACAAUAAAUAAAAAACAAGAGCAUAGACUAGGUUGAUUCCCAUGGUCUUUCACUUUAAGUUUCAAAUUUUCCCGUUUAAACUUUGUACAGUCUUAAAACUUUGUUCCAUAAACAAUAACAUAUUUAAAACCCUUUGGAACACAUAGAACACAAUAUAAUACAACAAGAUAGACUAGGCAAGCAACUAGCUCAAGCUAGAAAUACUAGCUUUCUCUAUUGAAUUCAAAUUGACUCUUUAAAGUACCAACUUGUUAGAAAACCCUUGUAACCAUUAUAAACACAUGCUUAAACACUUUGAUACAGAUUUAUCUCAUUAUCUACCAAUAUAAUAUAUAAUCAUCCUCAAAACAAGGCUAAAAUGACUAGAAUAGUGAUGCUAGAAUGCAUAAAUACACCCAACAUCAAAAGGCAAACCACCAAGGUUACCAUGUAAAUCAUUUCAUGGCCAACAAGGCAUUUACAAAACCAUUUAUCAUCUAUUCAUAUUCAAUAAGCCAAUGCCUUAGUUCAACAACACAUUCCAAUUUAAUUUAUGGUCAUCAAGACCCUUACAAAAUCAUUCAUCCUUUAUUAGAAUCCUUACACCAAUCAUUAGUACAAAACCCAAUUCAUUAUGUGACUAGUUUGUUCUCUUAGACAUUUUCACAAACACAUUGAGGGUAUACCUUUACCAAGACCAAAACAAAGUGAAAACCAUCCAUUUUAGGGUUAGUCAUGACCCAAUUAUUAAACCAUAAUUACCAAGCACUCAUAUAUGAAAAACCAUUAUUAAAACAUGUAUAAACACAAUUAAAACCAAGAGUAAACAAUACUCAACAAUAUGCAACAAAACCCUCAACACUGGUUUUCAAAACCACCAUUAAUGAACCAUAAUAAAUGUUUAAAACACAUGAUAUUUGAGAACUAACAAUGAAGGAAGAGUCACAUGUCUUAUUCACGAAGAUUCAUAAAAGAAACUUGACUCUUGAGCCUCCAUAUAAACACCUUUCAAGAACCCUAGCCCCAAUUUCCAAGAGAGAUUUUAGAGAGUGUUUUUAGAAUGUUUAAUCUUUCAAAAGCAUGUUAUGAGAGACCACAACAUGUUAUAAGACAUGGGGAUUUAAGGGUUUUUGGUUGGUAAAAUAUCCGAACUACCCUCAUCUUAAAAAUUGAAAACAUAGUCGCAAGAAGGUACGACUACCCCCCAAUUUUUACCCCAACAUAUGAGUGGUACCCAUCACUUGUACCCUAGACAUCAACUUAGACUCCAGAACUGUCCAACAUACGAGUUCAUGACCUAAAUCAUACAUAAUUAUAUAUGUGGCAUCUUAGAACUGUACCUUAGACAGAAUAGAAUCAUCUAGGCUAGACAUAGGACAUCAUAUGGUUAUGUACCAUACUACUAGUAUCCUAACAUAUGACUAGUAAGAUACCUAAUCCUAUGUUGGACAAAAUACAACUAAUUCACACUGAUUUUUCAUCCUAAAAGAGGACCACCAACUGUACCACAUCAUACAACUAGAAUGCACAAGUCAUAUGAUGUCCAGAAUGCUCAAUUUAUGAAAUUUUAUAAGGGUACAAAGCCAAGGUGUUUCACUGAUAAUCAUCCCUGGAAUAAAUAAUCUUAUACUCGAAAGAGGCCUCUCUAGUAGGCCGUCUGAAUGGAAAAUCUCCUUGUGCCCUUCAAUUACCUAUGGGUCAUCCGUGACCCCUACCUCUCCCUUUAGUCUAGGCUUCAUCUUUGGGUAUUAACUCAUCAUCCCUAGACUCUCAAGAUCUAGUCCUCACUAUCUUCACAAAAAAAGGUGAAAUAUAACUUAGAACAUUGGGUAAGAAUAACAUACACGACCAAGAAUCAAAGUAGAGAAGUUUUUCCUAAAGAUAUCUUAGAGCCUCUCGAUAAUAGAUACAAAUAUCUAAUAGACAUCCUACUCUGACACUUAUGACACUAGUUACUCUUACACUUAUGAGGCCGGUGAACCUGGCCUGUUACCAAUCUAUCAUGACCCAGAAAUAGGACAUGAUGUCACUUAUCAUGACUCAACCUAAUAAGUAAGAUAAUCACCCAAACUAAUAAAGAAAAAUAAAAUAGACAAUAGCAUAAACCAGGUGAGAAUUCUAAAAUAAAGCCUAGCCAAUAUGAAUAAAAUUAAAAUGGAAGUAUAAAAGAAAUAUCAUAAAACCCAGAAUCUGAUGUCAUAGUGUAAGAGCAUCUAAGUACAAAUCUAAAAACUAAAAAGUACAACGUCUAUCAAAAUCCAAAUAAGGACAUAAGUAAAAUAAAAUGAUGUCUGGAAUCUUUCCUGAACAUUAGAAUGGUCCAGUACCUCAAAAGAGUACCAAUCGACAGCAUGAUCUCAACCUCUAUACGGAGUACUCAUGCUAUGAUCUACAUUAAAAGUGCACAGUAAUGGUGAGUAUGGUCCACUUAUACUUAGAGGGUAUCAUAAGCAGUCUGAGAAAAGUAGAAAAUAAGAUAAAUAAAAUAUACUAUAAGCACAUCACCUGCAAGAAGAAAAGUCCAAAAUGGUAGCUCACACCGCCUCCACUAAUAGUUCUAAUAUAUAAAUAGAAAUGAAAAACAACACAAACAUACAUAAAGAAUACGCUGAAGCUAAAUACAAAUCAAGAAAAUUAAAGAAUUCAUGAAAGAUGCAUAUGUAAAUGCAAUGCAAUGCAAUGUGGAUUGGAUGAAUAUUGAAAGUCAUCGCAUGACUAUUUGUAUACACCCAUAGAGCUCAUAGCUCCCAGGUAGGAGGACCCAUAAGUGGUAUGCAAUCCAUAUACUAUAUCUCAUAUCUCAAUCUCUACUCACCUCUACAGCUCGUAUUCACGGAGAGGGUUUGCAUAAAAGUAUCUUAUUUUCUUUCAAAAAUAGUAUUUCUCAAUAGUACAAGUAUCUAAUGAAUGUAUGUGUAUGGAAUGAAGACGUAAUGCUCAAAGUUAACUCAAUAUGUUGAUAUUCAGUCCAUCACACACACAGACACAUAAGUGAGCCCAAAAAUUGGUUCAAUAUGUCUACAAUUCAAGAUCAUCAACUCAAAUUAGUCACCAUUAGAAUAAUAUACAUGUAAGACAUUAUUAAUAUCAUAUCAACUCCUAACUCGAGUAUUUCUAUCAUGAUAAAGACAACCAAUGGCCAAAUAAGGUCUAUAUUAACAAAAUAAACCCUCGUACGAGCAUUACAUAUAGAUUAAAAGCAUUUAAAUGCACAAAAAUGGCCAGUGAUGUCAAGUAAAACUUCCACACGGGCAACAAACAAGAUCAAAUAUCACAAGUCAACAAUAAUAAAAUAUAAGCCCUGACAUAGGCAUAAAACAGUAAUAAUAAUCUCUAAUUAUAAACCUCAUACCCAUAGCAUGCUUUACUUAUUUAUUAAUUUCUUAGCUUAAUCUGAAAGAACUUAAGCCAUAACCUUCCUAGAAAUAACAAAAUCUGGAUUAAUAUACUUCAAUACAGAGCCUUCCCUUUAUCAACGACCUCAAAAUCAACUAUAACAUUCAAAUAUUUCAUCUACACAUUAAAAGAAGCUAAUGAUAUUCAUAUUAUCCAUAUUUAGGCUGGGUCCAAAAAGAAAUCAAAAAAUUAGUUUAAAAAAGUGGAAAAAUCAGAAUUUUAUUUUAAAAAAACACUCUCCAAGGUUGUUGAAGUCUACAGGAGAAUAUGUGAAAAUAAGUUUAAAAUGAGGUACAAAUUAAAGAUUUUUUUUUAAAACCUUUAUAGGUAAAAACUCCAAAUUUUCAUUUCAAACUCAUGAUUUAAAGUUAUUUUUGAUGAUAUAAUCGAUGAAAAUAAGAUUUUGGAGCUUACCUAAGCUCAAAUGGUGAGAAACCCUUAAGACUCACCCCAACCUAAAGAUUAAAUGUUUAAAAUAGAGGAAAUAUAUGAAAAUGGGUUUUUAUAUCAACCUAGAUUUGGCCAUUUAAGUGGUCAAAUGAUUGUUUAAGCAAUCAUCGCUAAAGCAAUGGAUGACCUUUAAAGUGGUUUGGCCUACGUGGCUAAUCCUGCUAAAGUGGUCCCCUCCUAUUAAAGCAGCAAUUACCAAAUCGAUCAAGUACCUGCUUUAGCUGUAGGAGACAAUGCAUGCAUGACAGCUAAAGCGGUGCUCUGCCGCUAUAACACUUGAAAUUUCUAAGCCAAGAUCCAAAUCAUUCAUUGAAUUCACAUAGAACCAAAUACGAUGAUUACUAUUUUUUCAUGAGUGUUAAGAUCAAUUCGCAUAGUAUAUGAAGAGUUUUUAUACGAAUUAAGAUCAUAAGAAACCUCAAUAUCAAAGUUAAGUAAAAAAAUUUCACACCAAUUGAGUUUUUGUAUAAGAUUUCACUAGGGUCAAAUUUAAAUGAUCAUUCUUUCUAAAAUAUGAAGAGUUUUUUUAUAUCAAGACUCACCAAAUUAAAGGUUCUUGAGUUUUCUUUCAAAUGCCACAACCAUUUGUUAAUCCAAGUCUAGAGUAAAAUGUUAUGAACAUUUUAGUGAGGCAAUAUCCUAGGUGCACGUUGAACAGUGCGAGGCAAAGAUGGUGAAGUGAAAUCAUUGGAAAGACUUUGCAUUGGCAUCUGUGGCGUAGACCACCCUGCCCAGGUGUCAAAAUACACUAUUUUCUUACUAACUAAGGGGCAAGCUUGAUCUUUGACCCUAUGUAAUUUUACAGUUCAUUUUUAAUCACCAAAGUUGUCCCAAAAUAAUGAGAAUCAUCUCAAACCCCUUAUCUCUCUUCUCUGCCAAAAUUUAAGACAAGAAAAGGAUUUUUCAAAUCUCAAAGCCCCAAAGCUCCCAAGUUCAAGAAUUUCUCCAAAAAUCAAGCUUUUCACCAAGGAAUUUUCUACUUUAAGGUAUGUGGACCUUUAGCAAGGAUAAUACUUUCGUCCUUGUUCCCAAACUCAAGUUUUUAAGUUUCAUAAAUGUGUACUCUUGCAUUAGGAUUUAACCCCAAUGAUUUUAAUUCAAAUUCUCAAGUUCCCUUAAUGUGUUGUCCUAUGUACUUGAUAAUAACUCCCAUGGUUUAAUUUCAUCCUUGUUUACAUAUUUUCAAACCCUUGUUAAAUAUUUAAUGAAAUAUUCAUGAAAUCCCUAUAAAUUGGUAUUGAACCUUUGGAGUUUGGAAGAGUUACAUGCCCUUAGUAUGAUUUCAAGCAUGAAUUAAAAACACUUUCUUUUCUUUGACAUGAUUUAGUCCAAAUUUCAAGAAAGUGCAUGACAUGAAUAUGAAUUUAUAAGGAAUUUCAUGUUCUUAAUAUGAUUUAGCAUGAACAAGCAUGAAAUUUCUAGUAUGUACAUGAUAUAAGCCUAGUUUAAAAAAAAUAAUAUUCUAACAUAAGUUAUGAGACUUGGGGGUAUUACCACCAAAUUUUCAUAAAUUACAUAAGAUGAUAUGAAUUUCAACACUUAGCAUGAAACCUCAUGAGUUAGCAUGAUUUGACCUCUUGUUCAUGGCACAGACAAGAAGAUGAUAAUUAAGACUAGUUUUCAAUUUACUUAAGGCUAGAAGCCAAAAUAGAAUCUUACUUAUAUGAACUAGUCUUAUUAUUACUUUCAUAGUGAGCAAUCAAUGCAGACUUUUUGGAGUAGUAUUGAUCACCGAGCAAACACAGGUUCAGUGUACCUAAGUCCUAGAACUACAAGCCACCAUAGGUUCACUUGGCCUUUUGAAUUUCUAUUUAUGGAUAUAUAGAAAUCGGGACCUUAUACCCUUGGAAAAGGUAUAUUGGGUCCUCUCAAUGAGCUGUAUACAUUGGAUUCCACUCAUUCAUGUGUUUAUAUCUUGGCAAGGUUCAUUAGGUCCUUUUGAUAGGGCGUAAACAUUAAACUCCACGUUAGCUUACGUGGUUCAUGUCAAUUAAAACAAUAUCUUAUAAAAAGAUAAUAUUUUAACUAAGUAUACAGUGGCUCACUGCACUAUGACUUUCAUUAUGCUUUCUAAAUUUCUUCAUGUUUAACAUGAGUCAUUAUCCUAUUUAUCAUGCCCAAGUCUUAUACAUAAUUUUAAGCUAGUUUAAUUGGUUCACUAAUAAGUACGCAUAUUUCCUUAUCAAGGCAGCUCUUACAAUGUUUUAGUCAUUCAUAUACAAAUUGUGAACCAUUUAUACUUAUCAACGUGUUUUAAAAUUUAUACAUGAUUUGUUACUUUUGUUUACUUAUGCAUCAUAUGUGCAUUCUCCCAUGCUUAGUACAUUUUAUUGUACUGGCCACAUAUACGUCUAUAUGGCUACAUUAUUUCAUAAUGUUGGUAUCAAUUCGAGCUCACAAAAUCAUAAUCAGGUAUAUCGUAGAUUUUAGCUAGCAGGUGAUGAGUUUUCUUCAUUAAAGAACUCAAGUCAGUUGUAGUCCUGGCCUUUUAUUUUGAUUUGUAUGUAUUAAUUACGAAUAGAUGGGGGUUAUGUCCCGACUACCUAUAGUUUGUAUUAGUAGAGGCAUCAUAGACAGUCAGUCAGAUUUGAUAUAUUUAGCUCCAACUUUUAUUUUGUAAAAUCCAAUGGUUUAAAUAUUUGUAAAUAGAAUUAUAUUGAACAAAUACAGCUAAUUAUAUUGCUUCUACUUAGUGUUUUCAGUUUUAUGUGUUUUAUUCAGGUGCUCAUAAAUUAUACCAGUACCAUGGAAUAUCUUGGGAUUACUUGUUGUUCUAAGAACCAUGUUGUGACUAGGGGAUAAUCUCGAAUUGUGACAAACUUGGUAUCAAAGCACAAAGUAAAAGUAUCCUAGGGUGUCUAUGAAGAUGUGUCUAGUAGAAUCUUGCGAAAUGGUAUGAAAAUGUCUAUACUUUUCUUCGAGAGGCUAUCAGGAAUUUUAUUCACACUCCAAAUCAUGAUGUGGAGUUAUUUUAUAUCAAAUAUAUGUAGACCCAAGAAUUUCUCUAUUUCCACUAACAAUGUCCUAUGUUUACGCAAACAGAAACAAACUCACUUAAAUCUCUAUCGAUAUAAUUUCUUUGAUAGAGCUUACCUACAACCAUGAGACUGCAUAAGGGUUUGAAAGGAGCCCACUAGUGCCUUUAAGUUUAAUAAUCCAAAAGAAUUCACUCUUUUCUAUGUAAUCGUUCAUCUGAGCCAUAAUAAGAUGUGAUCUUAGACUCAUUCCCAAAAUCUUAUGGUAGAAUAAACCCAGAUUUAGAAUUAUGAGCCUAGAAAUGUAAUAUCUAUAAAAUAGUUAGAAGAGUGGUAGAUUUAAAUAGUAUCUUAGGAGGUUACAAUGUCACAUAGAGUGUAGUGUGGUAAUAAGAAUUAGUAGUAAGAUCAUGGAAAAGGGAGGUGCUUAUAGACUGGAGUUAGAUAGAAGGCAUGCUUUAAGUUUAUUUUACUUUAUUAUGAAUUUUAUUUUAAUUUGUUAUGAAUAUUGAUGGACUACUAUUUCCUUAAUCCUUAUAUAGUAGUUAAAGGUUGGUAUAGUUUAUGAAAAUUUGAGUGGUUUUUCAUGAUGAAUGUUAGACUAUAUGUUUGAAUUAUGGUUGCUAAAUGAGAUAAAGAUAAUAACUAUGUGGCGAUGAUGGUGCUAGUUUUAUGGAAUGAAUCUAGUAGGUUGGCCUAGAAUAUGUAUGAAUCUACGUUGAUUAUGUUGUUAAUGAUUGUGGUUGUGCAAGUUUAAGGUUUAAGUGGUUACCAUAUAGAGUAGUUAAUUAUGGUUUAGUAUCUAAGUAGGGAGCCCCAACGCAGGUUUCAUAUCUUUUCAUGCAGUUUUUAGAGGGGCUUAAUAUCCAUGUGCAUAGAGGUACCUCGACCAUUAGAGUAGAAUGAUGUGGCUCAAUUUAGAGUUUAUUGAGAAUAUCAAUAAACUUAGAAUGUUGGCUACUAAUCUAAGGGGGAGAUGAUAGAGAGUAGAACUAGUGAGGUUUUGAAAUUCAAGUAGUAAGUUAGUGAGUUCUAAAGCAAAGUUAAGGAAAUACAUAGAUCUAUUUCUAUCUUAAGAUUUUCAGAGAUUACGACACUCUAAUUAUAUGUUAUAUGUUUGUUCUAUAACAAUACUUCUUACUCAUACACUUCAUGCAAAUUAUGUAUAUUCUUAGUUCCAUUAUUCCUAGCACAAGAAGUAAAAAUAUCACUCAAUAGUCCAAGCAAUGCCCUAUGAAUUCAUAAAUUCGAGUCCUAUAUCAUACAAAUCAUGACUCAUGCAUACCAUGAUUUCUCAGUAUGUUAAGCUCCCUGAACUCAUGAUACAUCCUUAAUGACUAGUGAAAUCACAUUAUGUCAUGUAUAUCCUUAGUUUGGACUACCCUAAUGAAUCCAUGCCUAUGAUACUCUAUUCCUCAAUCCACAGUUACAUGUCAAAGUUAUGUAUAGUAUUCUUUAUUACUUUAGGUCAUCAUAUUCUAGCCCUUCAGUGACCCCCCCUUAUGUUAACAUAGUGGUAUAAAAAUGAAUGAAUAUAUUAUACAAGAGUGAAUUCUUAAUUAGAGUUUGGAGUUAGUAGUUGAAGUGGAUAUAAACUUAAAAUUCAUGUAGUUGAGAUUGGGAUGUUUAUCAUAUGGAUAGUACUUUUUACCUCUCAGUUAGGCUUGAAUAGAGUAAUACCAUGUGACUAGACUUAUUCUUUAGUAGUAAAACAUCCUGGGUUUUGACUCUUAGAAAAUUUCCUAGAAUUUUCGUUCUCCGGACCUAAUACAACUCAUGGGUACGAGCCGUAUGCUGGGGUACGAGUGGUAUGGUACUUUCGUAUACUAAUCAAUAUUAAUUGGUAGGUACAACUUAGUGGUAUGAGUCAUAGAGCUUGGUACGAGUUGUACCAGUGACUCGUAUGGUGGACAGUGUUUGAUCCUCCUGGUAUUUCAUUCUGCCAGGGAUACGGGUCAUGGAUUGUAAGACCCCGGGAGUUUGAACUUUUUAAAUGAAAUCGUAUAUAUUAUUUUAGUGUAGAAUAUUUUAGCUCGAGUUGUAUCUCUUAGUAAUGACUUGAUAAGUAUGAUAUUAAAUAAUGGUUACUAAAUACUUUUUUUAGUCAUAUGAUAGUUAAAGGAGUACUAUGUCGGUUACUUCACUGGAGUAGUAUGUAAAAAAAUAUUUUUUUUAUGAAAUAUUAAAGACUAGUAUUCCUUUAUGCUAAUUCAUAUAAUAAAAAGUUUAGGAGUGAUUUGUAAGAGGGGCUACAGUAAUUACCCACAUCUAUUAAACAUUAGAUGUAUACUUCUUGAUAUAUCACCGCCUCUUCAUUUCCUUUCAAUUAACCAUUGUAGUGGUUCUUAUUAGCACUACUUGAAUCCCAUGAAUUUCUAAUACCAAGUAAAUUUGGUUAAUCUUUAUCUACUACACGAUACAAAAGUCCUUCUAUUAUUUUUUAUGGUUCAAAAUCAAGCGAAGACUUAGGGUGGAUUUAAUGCUUUUCAAAGAAACAAUCGGAUGAGAUCAACUUUAGUUAUAGCCAAGGUAAGUUAAGUUUAAGAUUAAGCAUGGUGAUACUUCUAUUUAUCACAUAGUAUUAAUGUUAAUUCUCCACCAUAGUAUAGCAUGGGUUAAACAUAAUUUUUGUGGAGAAACAUAUCAAUUAAAGGGUCUUGCGAGCUUGUCGCUUUCCUAGUGUCUGUUUGACCUGGGCAUGUUUUUCAACAGGUUGUAAUAGCUGUUGUACUUGCCAUUUAUAUAGAUAUGAUGCCUUAAAAUAAGGGAUUCUCAUACAUAAGUGUUACAAGGCAAGGCCUAAGGUAAGGUCCUUUUCUUAGUUCGGGUUGGGUUCUCGCUUGUUGUAAUAGAUUGCUAAUGAAAACACCUCCUUCCGUUUUUAGUUUUGAUAUGAGAUUUGCAGCAGUUUUUGAGUAAGGAAAUCAUUAAGACGGCCUACAAAAUAGAGAUUUUGGAUUAAAGUGAAAAGAGGAUUGACAUGUCAUGAUAUUAAGGCAAAACUCAAGGUAUGUAAAGCUAAAACCUCUUUUGCCUUUAAGGCACGGCCUGUAAUCGUUUGUCUUUCCUAAAAUAGCUGAGAUAGUCUACUUGAGAUAUGUUAAUAUAGUUUUCAAUUUCUAUAUGCCUAACACAUGACCAUAUAUCCUUUUUAUUUGAAAUUACGCAUACUCAUGCUUCUUGCGUCAAAUUGUUGAGGUCAAAAUAUUUGUACUACUCCCAUUAAGUCAAGUAUCUAUAGAGUUUAUUCAUCUUCAUUAGGAAUUCGUAGAAGUCACCUAGUAUAUCAUCAUAUGCUAUGCAUUAGAAUAAAUGGACAUACUAUAGUCGCACUAAUAUAUUAGAUCACAUAGCGAUAUAGUCAUAUGGUGAUAUAAAAUACAAGUGUUGUAAUAGUUUGAUACCAUUAAAGAAGUUAAUUGUAUAUGGAAAUCACUACUUGAAUAACUAGACAGUAUUUGUCGUAAUAUAUACUUGCAUAGGCAUAUGAAGAACUAUUUGAUAAAGGUUAAUGACGAGAGGGUAUCAUAGGUUUGGCUUGGCACACGCGCGACGUAAUUCUGUGCACAGAAUUGAGACCAAACCACUAUAGUGAUCCCAAAUGCGUGGCGUACCUGCCCUUGUGGAAUCAUUUGUAUUUGGAGUCUAUUGGACUAGUUCCCCUGACUCGAGCCAAUAUAUGGCACAUAUGGCCUGCGGGCAAACCCUUAUAGUGAGUCCCAAGGAGGGGCGUACCCUGUAUCGGACCGCGAUUACAGUUAUGCGUAUAACAUCAUAGUCAGGCGUAUCUGGGAAACACAUAUGGUACACUUGACAUAGAGUGCCCUUGGUAGGCCAUCAUAUGAUUAUUUGUAUCAAAAGUAGGCACAAAAUAUCACUUAGCCAAAUUGCUAGGACCUUAAUAACUAUGAUUUAUUCAUUAGCGGUUAUAUGAUAAGUUAAUAAGGUAAAUACAUAGGUAACAAUCUUAUAUAGUGUAUUUUUCACCCAUUUUUCAUAAGUUAUAGUUUCAUAUAAGAGGUUCUAGUGUUCAGUCAUCCGAAGUUACUCAUUCUACUGUUUGACUCAUUGAGCAUCCUUAUACAUUUACUUGUUAUUCUGUCUGCUUUACAUACUAAUACAUAUUUUAUAUGUACUGACGUCCCCACAUUUGGGGAUACUGUGUUCUGUAAAUACAGAAUCAGAUGUAUCGAUGAGCAGACUUCUAUACAAGGCACUCAUCCGUAUUCAGCAAAGCAAUCGGUUAGCUCCUCUCUUACCUGAAGUGAAUAAACAUCUAGUAGUUUUAAUUAUGUUUUUGGUACAAUUACUAUUUCUCUUAGAGGCUUCAUAGAUAGUGCAGAGUUGUCACACGUUGUCAUAGUUGCACAUAGCCCCUUAUCAUUGUUUGUAAAUUAUAACUCCUUCGCACUGUAUAUAUGUCAGCCACAUAGCUGACACUCAUAUGGUUCUUGUUCACCAUUCCUAGGCUAGAUAAUGUCAUGACAAAAGUGGUAUCAAAGCGAGGUUUAGUUAUCCCAGGGAGUCUAUGAAGCCGUGUUUAGUAGAACUUCACUUAUGAAUGUGUUGUGCACCACAUUUUUAAUGGAGGGGUUGCUAGGCCAUUAGGAAUUAUAUCCUUCCUUCAUGAUCUAGAUCGUGCAAUAGAGCUAAGUCAUAAGAAGUUACUCCUGAUCCACACUUUGCUUAAUGGUUAUACAUAGUCCAUCUAUUUUAUACAACCUUAACUCCGACCAAAAGGUCAAAUAUUAGUAUUGCCAAUAAGGGAGAUUUUUAGUUAAUAACCACAAAUUAUAUAGAAGCUCAAAUUCGAUCUUAAGAUAGCUCGGUAAUUAUGAUCUUCCAAAUCUACCGUUAUUUACAAAGUAAAGGCUUGUAAAAAAAAUUCAUCUGUCUUUUAUAAUUAUAGUUGCCUUUGUGUUACUCUCUUUUGUUCCUAAGCAGGACCUAAGGGGUGAUCAUUUAUAUGAUCACACAAUUAAAAAGGCCGUCCACUUACAGAGACGUUUAAUUUAGCUUUAUAGGAUAGCAUCACUAACUUUUAUGUAUGAAGGCCCUUCUAUCAACCCCUCUCAUACUUGUAGAAUCAAGUCCCAAGAGGGACUAUUAGCACCUCUUUGUUGUUAUGCUUAGAACCUUUAGGGUUUUGCAUGUUAGCAUGAAAUAGUUGGACUUGUUAUAAGUUGAAGUAGUUGAAGUAGCUUGGAUUGUUACCAUUUAUUAAGUAGUGACACCCUUAGUUGGCCGACGAGGCCUAUAUAAUUUAUCAGAUAUUAUACCAAUGGUGUACAUGGAUGAUUUACAUAGAACACAUGUAUUAAAUUACCCUGACUAGACAAUUACCUAUGUGAGUCCUUUUGGGUUAAUGAGAUCUAGAAUGGGUAUUUUAGUUGUUCUACAUGUUUAGAGUUGUGCCCCAUUGUGAUCGGUGGUGGUGUUAAAGGAGAUUAUAGUGUGAUCAAAGAUUAGAAUCAAUAAUAGUGUGGGAUUAGUCAUAAGCUAAGAUUUCUCGAAGUGCCCAUAGUAACUAAGGACAUAAUAUGAGUUAAUUAACUACAAGAAGACAAUUGUUACAUUUAAGAAAUAGUAAGAUGUUACCUGAAUUUCUGAGACUAAAUAUAUACGUGGGAUAAUGCUUUCAGUUAGAGUAGGAUUAUUAUAAAGGUUAGAUAAAUUUAUAGAAGGAUGAUUAGAUAGUCUUAGUGGUUCAGGGUGCCAUAUUAAGAGUGGUUUUGGUAUUAAUUUGAGUUCCAAUACCCUUUCUGUAUAAUAGAGGCAAUAGGCAGACCAACUAGAAGGCCCUCAUUAUAAAUAUAUUGAUCUAUUAUAGUACUCAAGAGCGUACCUGCACUGGAAGAUAGAAUAUAUCUAAAAAUGUAUAGAUUGUCAACACUAAAAUUAAGGAGGUGAUUAAAUGUAAAUAUUACUUGUUUACCUAGUUCUACAUGAUUGUAUUUAUUCACUAGAUGUCUCGGCUUCCUAACUACUUUUUAGAUAUUAAUAAAGUUUAUAGGAUUUGUUUUUCCUUAAAUGACGGGGUGGGCACAUUUCUGUAUUCCCCUAAUAUUUGUUCAACAUAAACUUAUCGAUCAUAGCUUGGCUAAGAAGGAAAAAGGUGGAAUUACCCUUACUUUUCAGGCUGUUAUAGCAAUCCAACAAGUUUGGUGGGACUUUAAUUACUAAGCUUAAGGUGGCUGAUCCUUAGAUAUUAUGGAGAUAUCACGGGGUGGCUACAUAAGUAUGUCUUAUACAAGAAUUUUCCCCCAGCAAUGUAUUCGACAUCCCGCUUGUUCAUCAAUUUGUUAGUUAAAUCCAUAUGAGCUUAAUGUAGAAUUUGAUAGCAAUAGAGGUGGAACAGUUUCAAGUUGCCACCCUAGUAAGAGGCUUACAAAGUAUACCCAAUUCUUAUGUCAAAAUAUUUACAAGGGUAUAUUUUUUAGGAGUUGAAAGAAGGAAAAACUUGGUUACAUAAAUCCCAAGGAAAAGAGAUGAACACAAUUAGACGUAUCCCUGGUAUCAUUGAAACUAACGGGAGUAUUAUCGCAAUCAAGCUAUGAUUAGAUAACUCCAUGAAAUGUCCUAGUUUACAUAGGAGAUAGGUGUCAAUAAGAUUAAGUUGUCUCAAAUUCAUAUAAGUAUGUUGUUAUAGCUACACUUAUUACGAGAUUAUAUGUGUUACAUGUAUGAUGGUUUAAUUGUUGACAUACUAAUUUACAAGCUUCUUAGUUUACUUAUUAUGUGCUCAUUCGGGGUUAAUUAAUUCCACAUUUUUUAUAAUAUAGAUUCUUGUUUAUAGGUUAUAUACUAGAUAAACUGGUGUUUACCUAUUACAUAUUUUAUAUAGAACAUGCUUCUGUGUUGUAUGUUUCAUAAAGUACUAAUGUAAACUAUAUAUGUUUCCUAGAAUAUUUGAUCACAUGUUACAUGCUUACACAUUAGUGGAUAUGUGCUCAAAGGUUAAAAAGUUCCUUGUUCAUGUGUUAUAGACAUUAUAUAUCAUUUGAUAGCAGUAAUUAAUUGAAGGGGUGUUUGGAUUAACUUAUUUUUGGCUUUUAAACAAUUUGUUUUGGGGGGUUUUAGUAGUGUUCGGCAAAACUAAAGAGUGUUUUUUUAAACACUCACUUUUAGAUCCAAAAAAAAAGGAAGCACAAAAAUAGGCAAAAAGCCGAAAGUAAGGUUGCACCUACCUAUGACUUUUAGCUUUUGGCUUAUAAGCUACUUUUUAAAAGUUCAUCCAAAAAAAAAAAAAACAAAGCGCCCCCUCCCCUAAAGGAAACGAAAAAUUCUGUAAAAUUGUUGUUAACAUUAACUUAAUCCAAAGUAUUUACUUGUGCGUGUCUCUCACAAAAUAUAUAAUUGAUAGGUGCAACAUGCUCUGUAGCAAAUUGUUUAAGUAUAUAUGUUUCAUAAGUUUGUAUAGUUAAAAUGUACUUGUUCACACGAUAUAUGUUUAAAUUUUUCUAUAGAUUGUGGGUGUAUUUGUUCAAAAAUUAUAUUCCAUAUGCUUAUAUGUCAUAAUCAAGUAAUUUACAUGCUAUGUGUUUUCAUAAUGUUAAAGAUUUAAGCAUCAAGUAUUUUCAUAAUUUAUUUGUUUUUAUAAUUUUAUGAUAAAUGUAACUAUAACCCAUUUGUCUACAUGCUAUACGUAUCACAGAUUAUUAUUUAUUGUUUAUGGGCUUGACGGAUUAUCAAAAUAUCUCCCUAUUCAUGGUAUAGUUAUUUAAGUAUUAUUAUGUUUUACAAAUUAUGUGGUUAGAAAUGUCAAGGGUCUAUUUGUUCAUAUGAUAUACGUGUAUUUACUUAUAGGUAUAUAUUUAGUUAUUUGACUGUUAUAACAAAAAGAUUCAUUUGUUGUGGUUAGAUUACAUGUUAUGUACCUUCACAAUUUUAAAGCUAAUACAUUAGGUGCUCUUACUAUUUAUCCACUAAUAUAUUGCAAAUAACUAACUUAUAUGCUUAUGUUCUGUUUGGAAAGCCAUGUAUUAUGUAUAUUAAGAUUGUAGCUGCCUAUAGAUUAAAUAACAGACUUCGUAUUAUAGCUCAUUUGCUUGCAUAUUCAUUUUUGUCCAUAUGUCCACAUGCUAUUUAUGGUUUAUAUAUGUUCAUAUAUCAUAGAUGUUCACAAUUUACUUGUAUAUCAAUUAUAAUCCCAUAUUUUAUUGGUUCAUAAGUUACACUUCUGCUAAAAUUGGCGUGUUUAUGAGUGAAAGUCCUUUCUGGGCAUUGCAUUCUCACAUGGGUACUUGCCCUUGUGUUAAUCUACCUACAUGUUACAAUAUUUAUACGACUUGAUUGAUUAGAUCGGUAUUGCCUUAGAAAAGUAUCACAUAAUUCCGCAGGAAGGUUAAACUAAGCUCUAUGUAUAUAGCUCCUAUAUUAGCUUAUAGAGAUCAUCCAGGAGGCUGGAGUGGGAUGUACCUUCAGAUAGAAUCAUUAUAAACUCGACACUCCAUGAGUUCAUACCACCAUAAUAUUCAAAUGAUGUGAUUUAUGCCUAUGUGAGUUGCUUCAAUGCAAGGACGCAAGGUGGGAUACUUCACUCAUUUUUAUCUUCCUGUGAAGUGCAGGGUCAAAAGAGCCCCAUUUAUUAUUUGUUUAUGUACUGUAGUUAAGGUGGCACCCUAUGAGGUUUGUCUGCAUGUUUUUGGUCAGUUGGUGGUGCAUGAGAAGUUUUGGAAUCGGCCUAUUUACAAAGUAAACUCUUGUCAAAAUUUUUGGAGAAUAUGGAAGUUAAUCAAAUUUUGGGACCCUAAGAAUGUGAGGAGUAAAUUCAAAAUACAAGAACUAACAUUGAUUUUAGAAUAGAAACAACUCAUCACCCAACAUUCGAGGACGAAUGUUCCCAAGGGAGGGAUAAUGUAAGACCCCAUGAGUUUGAACUUUUUAAAUGAAAUCGUAUAUAUUAUUUUGGUGUAAAAUAUUUUAACUCGAGUUGUAUCUCUUAGUAAUGACUUGAUAAGUAUGAUAUUAAAUAAUGGUUACUAAAUAUUUUUUUUAGUCAUAUGAUAGUUAAAGGAGUACUAUGUCGGUUACUUCACUGGAGUAGUAUGUAAAAAAAUAUUUUUUUUUUAUGAAAUAUUAAAUACAAGUAUUCCUUUAUGUUUAUUCAUAUAAUAAGAAGGUUAAGAGUAAUCAGGAAGAGGGGCUACAGUACUUACCCACAUCUAUUAAACAUUAGAUGUAUACUUCUUGAUAUAUCACCGCCUCUUCAUUUCCUUUCAAUUAACCAUUGUAAUGGUUCUUAUAAGCUCUACUGGAAUCCCAUGGAUUUCUAAGACCAAGUAAAUUUGGUUACUCUUUAUCUACUACACGAUACAAAAGUCCUUCUAUUAUUUUUUAUGGUUCAAAAUCAAGCGAUGACUUAGGGUGGAUUUAAUGCUUUUCAAAGAAACAAUCGGAUGAGAUCAAAUUUAGUGAUAGCCAAGGUAAGUUAAGUUUAAGAUUAAGCAUGGUAAUCCUUCUAUUUAUCACAUAGUAUUAAUGUUAAUUCUCCACCAUAGUAUAGCGCGGGUUAAACAUAAUUUUUGUGGAGAAACAUAACAAUUAAAUGGUCUUGCGAGCUUGUCGCUUUCCUAGUGUCUGUUUGACCUGGGCAUAUUUUUGAACAGGUUGUAAUAGCUGUUGUACUUGCCAUUUACAUAGAUAUCAUGCCUUAAAAUAAGGGAUUCUCAUACAUAAGCGUUACAAGGCAGGGCCUAGGGUAAGAUCCUUUUCUUAGUUCGAGUUGGGUUCUCGCUUGUUGUAAUAGAUUGCUAAUGAAAGCUCCUCCUUUUUUUUUUUUAGUUUUGAGACGAUAUUUGCAACAUUUUUUGAGUAAGGAAAUCAUUAAGAUGGACUACAAAAUAUGGAUUUUGGCUUAGAGUGAAAAGAGGAUUGGCAUGUCAUGAUAUUGAGGCAAAACUCAAGGUAUGUAAAGCUAAAACCUCCUUCACCUUUAAGGCACGACCUGUAAUCAUUUGUCCUUCCUAAAAUAGUCGAGAUAAUCUACUUGAUAUAUGUUAAUAUAGUUUUCAAUUUCUAUAUGCCUAACGCAUGACCGUAUAUCUUUUACAUUUGAAAUUACGCAUACUCAUGCUUCUUGCGUCAAAUUGUUGAGGUCAAAAUAUUUGUACUACUCCCAUCAAGUCAAGUAUCUAUAGAGUUUAUUAAUCUUCAUUAGGAAUUCUUAGAAGUCACCUAGUAUAUCGUUAUAUGCUAUGAAUUAGAAUAAAUGGCCAUACUAUAGUCGCACUAAUAUAUUAGAUCACAUAGCGAUAUAGUCAUAUGUUGAUAUAAAGUACAAAUGUUGUAAUAGUUCGAUAUCAUUAAAGAAGUUAAUUGUAUAUGAAAAGCACUACUUGAAUAACUAGGCAGUAUUUGCCGUAAUAUAUACUUGCAUAGGCAUACGAAGCACUAUUUGAUAAAGGUUAACGACGGGAGGGUAUCAUAGGUUUGGCUUGGCACACGCGCGACGUAAUUCUGUGCACAGAAUUGAGACCAAACCACUAUAGCGACCCCGAAUACGUGGUGUACCUGCCCUUGUGGCAUCAUUUGUAUUUGGAGUCUAUUAGACUAGUUUCCCUAACUCGAGCCAAUAUAUGGCACAUAUGGCCUGCAGGCAGACCCUUAUAGUGAGUCCCAAGGAGGGGCAUAUCCUGCAUUAGACCGCGAUUACAGUUAUGCAUAUAACAUCAUAGUCUGGCGUAUCUGGGCAACACAUAUGGUACAAUUGACAUAGAGUGCCCUUGGUAGGCUAUCAUAUGAUUAUUUGUAUCAAAAGUAGGCACAAGAUAUCACUUAGGCAAAUUGCUAGGACCUUAAUAACUAUGAUUUGUUCAUAAGCGGUUAUAUGAUAAGUUAAUAAGGUAAAUACAUAGGUAACAAUCUUAUAUAGUGUAUUUUUCACCCCUUUUUUCAUAAGUUAUAGUUUCAUAUAAGAGGUUCUAGUGUUCAGUCAUUCGAAGUUGCUCAUUCUACUAUUUGACUCAUUGAGCAUCCUAAUACGUUUACUUGUUAUUCUGUUUGCUUUACAUAAUAGUACAUAUUUUAUAUGUACUAACGUCCCCACGUUUGGGGGCACUGUGUUCUGUAAAUACAGGAUCAGAUGUAUCGAUGAGUAGACUUCUAUAGAAGGCACUUGUCUGUAUUCAGCAAAACAGUUGGUGAUCUCCUCUCUUACUUGGAGUGAAUAAACAUCUAGUACUUUUAAUUAUGUUUUUGGUACAAUUACAAUUUCUCGUAGAGGCUUCGUAGACUGUGUGUAGUUGUCAUACGUUGUCAUAGUUGUACAUAGCCCCUUAUCAUUGUUUGUAAAUUGUAACUCCUUCACACUGUAUAUAUAUCAGCCACAUAGCUGACACUCAUAUGGUUCUUGUUUGCCAUGCCUAGGCUAGCUAGGGGCGUUACAUGGAUACGGAUCAUAUGUUGUGGUUGUGACUUGGUUGGAUGAGUCGUAUACUGGACAAUGUUUGAUACAAGGGCUAAGGCUUGGAUACGAGUGGUGGAAAUUGAUUGUAUUGGGAGGGUACGACUUGUAUGAGGCAUUUGUAUCCUUGUGACAUGAUUUUUGUGCAACUUAAGUGAGGGUAUUCUGAACAUUUCCCUACUUAUCCUAACUAGGACUCAUGACUUCUAAUACACUUAGAAGGUUAUUUAACUUAUUAUUCUAUUCAUUGACACUUAGAAAACUAUUCUGAAACACUUCAUAAUUCUCUCAAGAGAUUUUGGGGCAAGAAGGCUAGGGUUUUAUCUUGAGGAUUGCUUUGGGGCUUGUUUGGGUGAUUUUUUUCAUUAGUUCUUCAAUAUAAGGCAUGAUUCUCUUCCUUCAUUGUAAUUUCAACUAAAGGCACAAUUUAUAUGAUUGAUUUCAUGGUCUUACUAUUUCAAGAUUAUGGCUUUUAACUAUUAUUUAGGGGUUUUGAUAUUAAAUGUUUGGUUAUGAUUUCUUAUGGUUUUAACUAUGCUUUUAUAUGUAUUAAUGGUGGAUUCGGACAAUUGUAUUAUAUGGUAAUGGUUUAAUGGUCUUUGGAAUUGGUUAUGAUUAAACUAUUCACCCGAUGUGUCUGAUAAAAUGCUUAUAUAGAUAUGUUCAUUGCAUUGACUUCUUUUAAUGGAACUAUUGCAUGCUUUAAACUUGGUAAAAGAAUCAUACAUGGUUUAAAUAGUUUGAAAAGGCUAAAGGCUAAAUGGUUAUGCUUGUGGGUAACAUGGGAGUCUCCAAGUAGUUUAAUAUAGUAUAUGGAAGGGCACUUGAAAGUCCUCUUAACCUAAAUGGUUUGGCUAUGGAUAUUACUUGCAAACAAGGGGUGGUAUGACGAUACCACUAAUAUUCGCCUUGGUUAAUAAAAUGGUAAAUGGAUUGGUUGGUUAUUUAGAAACAGUUUGAAUUGGGCAUUAAUGGCGGGAUGUGUAGCAAAGCCAUGGAAGGUGGCAGUCCUGGGGGGCCCAUAACUGGAAACUCAUAUUUGCCGAUAUGAUGAUUGGACUUAGUGGACCGUGUGUAUGAUGUCAUACUAUUGGGGAAUAUACUAGUCAUCCCAUGGGAUACUUCCCUGGUCGUGCAACAACACGCGGGGGAACUGAACACAUAUAGCCCGUGGGGGGUUUAAGACGGCCAAGCUACAUAGCCCAAGUAAAGGUUUUAAAUGUACGAUAAACACGGAUCCCCUUUCCCGGCAUUUAUAUAUAUAUAUGGUUGUGUAUAUUGGAUGGUUUUACUUGAUUUUAUAACUGAUAUUAUUUUAUCCUUAUCUUAAGAUUCAUGCUAGCAGUCACUCGCUAAUCCAUCUACUGGCUGCUAUAUACCUACGCUAUGUAGGAACCGAUCGUUCGACUUCUCUUACAUAGUGAUUGAUUCGGGAAAAACAUUUGGAUUGAAGUGGUGAGCUUCCAUCCUUUCAGAAGACAUCAUUUCAUGUUAUGAAUAUUGUUAGACGUUUUGACUUUAUUUUAGAUAUUGGUUUUGGCCAUGAUUUGGAUAUGUCCCAACCAGAUUUAUUUACUCUUAUGGAUAGAGGCUAUGUGAUACUUCUGGGGGUUGGAAUGGGUAGGAUAGAUAUUGAUGUCGACCUUGGCAUUAGAAUAGGUUGGUGGGCUGACACCACAUCAUAGAAUUUCUCACUGCUCCAUCGUAUUACAUUUUGAGAUUAAUUAAAUUAUGUUUUGGUAUUCUUUUGGUUAUGUCCUAGUUUAUGGCCUAUGGUUUGGUCGGUAUGGUUUGGUGGUUGAUUUGGUACGAGUGGACUUGGUUGGUUGGUCAUGGUUGUGAUCCUAUCCCAGAGUCUUCAUGAGAGCAUUUACGCUAUCUUGUUACAUGCUCUAAAUUCAUCCCAUCUAAGGCUGCAUAUAGGUGGUUGGGUUGUGUAAUAGGGGGCGGUCCCCAGUCUUGGUUGGACUUCGGAUGCCCAUUACGAUAAGGCUUGGGGGUCGGAUUGGGUCAAGUAGGCUUGAAUCGUGUGUCCUUAUGAUAACUUGAAGUUGCAGCCAAUGAAGUGAAGUGUUCCAUAAAAAAAAGCAUAUUUAAGAAGUGUUGUUAAGCAUGGAAGUUAGAAGUCGUAUUGUUUGAGGCAUAUUAGUCCUAUUCUUUCUCGCUGCACAAGAUUCCCAUGUUAUAUAGUUAAAGCUAGAGGGUGCCUCAUUAUCAAGUCUUUACCGCCCAUGCUCUGUGAGCCCGUUUCAGCAAACUAGAGUACUCAGACCAUGAUAAAAUCCCUUAUUUCAUGUAUCACUUAUUUUAAUGCCNNNNNNNNNNNNNNNNNNNNNNNNNNNNNNNNNNNNNNNNNNNNNNNNNNNNNNNNNNNNNNNNUCUCAAUGAUUCUAAAAAAUUUCAUCUCAAUACAUAUAACUUUGCAGUUCUAUAUGCACACCCUUCCAUGUAUGCCUCAAUUGAGAGCUAAACACUCAAUAUGAAUUAGUCCAUAUAGCUAGCAAUUUCGUUUAAAGAAUCAGAUAGAUAGUUACAGUAAUUUUCGCUUCUUUCAUCUAGUCUAACUCUCCUAAGUUUCAUAUCGAUGCCUAUUCCAUCUGAUUCUCUAUGUGCAUUCAUGCUAUGUAUAAAUUCAAUUGAAUCUUUGCUUAGUCUAAAUUAUCUCAUCUAUGAUAGAUAUUCAAAUUCAUAAAUGAGUUCCAAAUUAGUGGUUCCUAUUGUCAUGCCCAUUUUUCUCACGAAAAGAUAGAUUCGACGUGACAACUCUUUUUGGGAUAUAUUACGGAAUAAAGAGUCACCACCUAAUGAAUUAAGGUACGAUAGGACACCAUUCUAGGCUAACUACGAACCUAUUUUAUUGUUUAGUCUAGUUCACCAGAAAUUUGAGUAAGGGUUCAAAUUACCUCGAAAGGAAGGUGUUAGGCACCUUUUAAGGUCUACAAAUGUGAUUCCCGACCGAAUUCGUACUUUACAUGGAGAUUCUAUGUGAUAAGCAAAGGUCACAUAUUUUUAUAAACUCAAUAUUAGCUAAGUGAUAAAAUAAUGAAUAAACAAGACAUAAUUAUUUAAUUAUUUCAAAUUAUCAGUUACCUAGGUGAUGCUAGAACAACACAAGAAAUAAUGUGAAUCGGAUAAUCGAGAAGAUAGAAAUGACACAAAUUUAUAACAUAAUAUCUAUAUUAAAUUAAAGAACCUAAACUACCCCAACCAAAUAAACAUAUACAGUAAAAAGAGAGAAAAUCAAAUUUGCGAAAUUCGAUAAAGAAUUUAUUUUAUUUUAUUCGGAUUUUAUUUUAUUUUAUUCGGAUCAACACCUAAGUUAUUAAUCACUACUUUGCCCAUUACCCAGCAACUGGGUUAUUAAUGAGUUACAAUGUCAUAUGCCGCAUUGCCGUAUGCUUGAGUAACCAUCAUCUCUGAAUGACUACCCACCCCACCUAAUCUGUUGGUAGGCCUAAAGGCGUUCUAAAAAGAAAGAAUAAAAUUAGCGCUUCUUAGGAUGCCUACCCACCCUAACCUAUCUUCCAAGAGACAUUGGACUUUUCUAUUGUGAAUUUACGAUCUAGACAAAUAAAACUAGGCUUCCUAAUUACACUAAAAAAUCGCGUUAAACAUAUUGGACAACAUGUAGCACACAUUGGUCUCAAAAAAGCCUCUUGAUUAAUUAGGAUUGAUUAGGUGGUAGACGUGUCCAAAUAAACAAUUAUCUAUUUUAGUGUAAUUAACCUAUAGACAUGCUACUACUUGGCAAAAGACAUUAAAACAUUUUAAAGUGUUAGAAUGUUUUAACAAGAGCUUGAGGAAUAAAAUCUCUAAGUGAAGGUUAACGUGUUGGAAAUUCACAUAAUUUCUAGAUGAAAAGAAAUCAAAGACAUGUCAAUGCCUAAUUACAGGUACUAAUCUUAACUUUGGUUUCUAAAAAAAAAAUUAAAGUUUCCAAUGUUGAAAACGUUAUUUAACUUGCCAGAUAUUGAUAAAAUAUUGCUGAAAUUAGGUUAAUUGCUGAAAGUAGUUUUUAGCUUGCUGAAUUUGUUUUAAAAGCUGAAAAAACUAAGUUUUGAUUGCUGGAACUUGUUUUAAGAGGCUGGAAUUUAUAAUUUAAUUUCUAAUAAAAUGAUUUCAAAUAUGUUGAAUCUGAUUUCUUUUUUUCUUAUUUGUUGAAUACUGGGGUGAGGUGAUUAGGCGGGACAUGGAACAGUUACAGCUCACCGAGGACAUGACCCUAGAUAGGAAGGUCUGGAAGAUGCGAAUUACGGCAGAGGAUUAGGGCCAGUUCGGGUCGCUAGGGUAGGGAAUUAAUUGGGGGGGGUUGUAUUCCUGUUAUGAUCCCGUAUUCAGUGUUCCGUGUUCCGUGUUCCAUGUUUAUUACGAAUCUGUGUGCUUUCCUCUGCUUUAUAUUCCUGCAUUACUGCUUUACUCUGUUUUAUAUUCCUUAUGGGAGCCGUAUGUAUGUUAUGUCAUCUGCUUCUGUGCUUUACUAUGUGUUUGUGUGAUAUCUCGUGACUUGAGCCGGGGGUCUUUCAGAAACAGCCUUUCUACUUCAUCAGAGGUAGAGGUAUGGACUGCGUACAUCUUACCCCCCAGACCCCACUAAGUGGGAAUACACUGGGUUUGUUGUUGUUAUUUGUUGAAUACUGAAACCUGAUGUUUUAUUACCGUAAAUUAAAGUGCAGAAAACAGAUUGAAAUUUGUCUUAAAUGCAAAAAAUAUGAUUUUUUAGUGCAGGAUUUUUUUAAUACGCUGGAACUGAUUUUGUUGCUAUAUUCAAGAACUAAGCUAGGUUUUUGAAUGUAAUUGAUGAACCAUUGUUGAAAAAGUUAAACUAAAUGCGAGAAAAAUAGGUUGAACACUCGUUAAACACAUUGCCAGUUAAUUAACAGCUUGAAAUCGGUUAGUGAAUAAUCCUUAAACAUGUUCUCUAGGUGUCCAAAAUAAAUUAAUUAUGAAGCCUAUAUUAUGUUUGUCUAAACGAUUCACGUAGCACAAAACACAUAAACCCUGCCCCCUAAACAGUCCCCAUUUUUAUUAUUGCAUCAAUGAGGUUUAGAAAAUUUAUUACAGCACGAUGAAUUAAAAAAGAACUAAACUAGUAAGGAAAUGAGUAGCCCAUUUUUCCACCAAAUCCCAAAACUAUCUAUUUAUACUUGUUAGAUACAAUGAAAUAGCAAAACAAGCACAAAAAGAAAAUGACGUAACAAAGAUAUAGCACACAAAAACACCGAAUAAUUUCUAUAGGCAUGUUUUCUAGCAUCAUCGUAUUAAAAUUGCAUGGAUAGGAACUUAUCAGUUGAUGAUAAAUAACAAUAAUAAGAAAAUCAAGUAGCACAAAGUCUAAGCACGAAUUACCACAAAAAAUAAGAUCGAUUCUCCCAAAGUGAGUAUGAAUCAAAAACAAUAAAGUACAAAUUUUUUGUUUGAGAGCAAUGCUUAAAGCUUUUCGUAUGGAGAAUAUAGAGUGUAAGUUGUCCUAAUAGGAAAAAAGGAUUGCCCCUUUUAUAGUAAAAGACUUGUGAGAAGUCUAAAAAAUAAAAGGAAGAAAGAAUAUUUAGUCAAUCAAUUUAAGAAUUAUUUUUCGUAAAUUCAUGCGCUGUAUCACAAAUUAUGUUAAGACUAUCCAAAAUUAGCCUAACACACAAAGUUGUUCAAUUUUAGAAAAGGCAAGAAAAUAAAUCAAGGGAAUAGAAUGAUAAGGAAAAAAUAUUCCGAGCCACAGACUAAAUAUGGAUCAAAAAUUUAUCAUGUAAUUAAAAUACAACAGCAAUCAUAUAUAUUUUUUUCAUAAAGAAAAAUUUGCUCAAUCAAUUAUUCCAAAUUUACCAUAAAUAAAUGAGCAAUUAAACGAAGAAAUCAGUCCACAUUUAAAUAGGUAGAAAAAUCAACAAAAGACGCAACAAAUUAUCCCUAAAUAUAAUUAAUUCAUAAGAAAAUCUCUACUUACCCAAAAUCUUUUCAAAACCCAGCAACUUGUCCAAACCCAUACCAAGAUAAUUCACACGCAUAUAGGAAAAAAUGGUCAUAAUUCGAGUUCAGGAAGAUAAAUAAUAUACAAAUCAGAUUUACUAAAUUCCUAACUAGUUUUUGAGAAAAUAUUGUAAUUAAAAGCAUAAUAAUCAGUCUACAAAAAUUUGGGGUUUUCACAUACGUCAGUCUACAUGCAUAAACAAAUAUGCAAUUGCAGUAAACAUAGAAAAAUUCAAAGUAGAGCAUCACAAAUUAUAAAUAUAAGAAUCUGAUUUUGAGCAAUUUGAAAAUAAGACAAACAAGGCAUAUAAUUUAAGAUAUAAAAAAAUUAAACCCGGUGAUAAUCAUAAUUUUCUGGAGAAAUUUGGGUCAACGGUGCAGCAGAGAGGCGCUUCAUGGUUGUUUUGGUAGCUGGUUUAUUGUUUUUAUUGGUUGGAGCCAUCGAAAUACCAAAAAAAUAGAUAGAGAGAGGCCAGCGGCGGCUGUUGGCAGUUGAUAUGGUUGGUAGCGUCAAAUGAAGUGGGUUCCGUUGUCUGGAGCGGGAGCUGGAUGAUAUUGUUGUGCUUUCACCGAUGCUUCACUGCCAGAGAAGGGAAUGGAGAAAGGAGGUGGUGCCUGGUGGAGGCUUGCUAAUAUGAUUAGUGGCUAGUUGGGGGAGAUGCAGCGACACUGGCAGCUCCGUCGAAUGUUGUGGUCGUUGGCUGUUGUUGUUUCGAUGGUGUCUGGUAGGAGCGGAGAGAAAAGAGUGGCUCCGAAGUUAUUGUUGUCCACAGAUGACGGUCAGUCACUUGGGGAGGGAGGGAGAGAGAGAGAAAAGAUGUGAGAGAAAAAGAAACAUGGUGUUGCUGCUGAAAAUUAAAAAUGGGG
rnacentral:lncRNA from 1 species